CGAAGGGGGCUAGCGUUGUUCGGAUUUACUGGGCGUAAAGCGCACGUAGGCGGGUCGUUAAGUCGGGGGUGAAAUCCUGGAGCUCAACUCCAGAACUGCCUUCAAUACUGGCGACCUAGAGUCCGGAAGAGGUGAGUGGAACUCCUAGUGUAGAGGUGGAAUUCGUAGAUAUUAGGAAGAACACCAGUGGCGAAGGCGGCUCACUGGUCCGGUACUGACGCUGAGGUGCGAAAGCGUGGGGAGCAAACAGGAUUAGGAUACCCUGGUAGUCCACGCCGUAAACUAUGGAAGCUAGCCGUUGGGGGAUUUAUCCUCAGUGGCGCAGCUAACGCAUUAAGCUUCCCGCCUGGGGAGUACGGUCGCAAGAUUA
rnacentral:rRNA from 1 species